rnacentral:pre_miRNA from 1 species
CAUAUGUUCGACGUUUGAGCGUCCGUCUUAUUUAAAAAAGUCUUAUGAUUAGUAUUUUUAUUAUUAGAUGAUAAAACAUGAAUAAUAUUUUAUGUAUGACAUUUUUAAAUUUUUUUAUAAAUUUUUGAAAUAAGAGGAACAGUUAAACGUUGGACACGGAAAUCCACAAAUACAGUUAUA